rnacentral:rRNA from 1 species
CGCGUAGGUGGUUUGGUAAGUCAGAAGUGAAAGCCCUCGGCUUAACCGGGGAACUGCUUUUGAAACUGCCAUGCUAGGGUACGGGAGAGGGAGGUAGAAUUCCUGGUGUAGCGGUGAAAUGCGUAGAUAUCAGGAAGAAUACCGGCGGCGAAGGCGGCCUCCUGGCCCGAUACUGACACUGAGGCGCGAAAGCGUGGGGAGCGAACA